rnacentral:rRNA from 1 species
AUUGCCCUAGUAACGGGCGAGUGAAGCGGCAACAGCUCAAAUUUGAAAUCUGGCCUUCGGGUCCGAGUUGUAAUUUGUAGAGGAUGCUUUUGGUGCGGUACCUUCCGAGUUCCUUGGAACAGGACGCCUUAGAGGGUGAGAGCCCCGUACGGUUGGAUACCAAGCCUCUGUAAAGCUCCUUCGACGAGUCGAGUAGUUUGGGAAUGCUGCUCUAAAUGGGAGGUAAAUUUCUUCUAAAGCUAAAUACCGGCCAGAGACCGAUAGCGCACAAGUAGAGUGAUCGAAAGAUGAAAAGUACUUUGAAAAGAGGGUUAAAUAGCACGUGAAAUUGUUGAAAGGGAAGCGUUUAUGACCAGACCUUUGCCUGGCGGAUCAUCCGGUGUUCUUCACCGGUGCACUUCGCCCGGCUUAGGCCAGCAUCGAUUUUCGCAGGGGGAUAAAGGCCGCGGGAACGUGGCUCCCUUCGGGGAGCGUUAUAGCCCGCGGUGUAAUACCCUUGCGGGGAUCGAGGUUCGCGCUUCGGCAAGGAUGCUGGCAUAAUGGUCAUCAACGACCCGUCUUGAAACACGGACCAAGGAGUCGAACAUUUAUGCGAGUGUUUGGGUGUUAAACCCUCACGCGUAAUGAAAGUGAACGGAGGUGAGAGCCCUCUAGGGGGUGCAUCAUCGACCGAUCCUGAUGUCUUCGGAUGGAUUUGAGUAAGAGCAUAGCUGUUCGGACCCGAAAGAUGGUGAACUAUGCGUGGAUAGGGUGAAGCCAGAGGAAACUCUGGUGGAGGCUCGCAGCGGUUCUGACGUGCAAAUCGAUCGUCAAAUCUGCGCAUGGGGGCGAAAGACUUAUCGAACCAUCUAGUAGCUGGUUACCGCCGAAGUUUCCUCAUGAUAGCAGUGUUGUGUUCAGUUUUAUGAGGUAGAGCGAAUGAUUAGGGACUCGGGGGCGAUUUUUGCCUUCAUCCAUUCUCAACUUUAAAUAUGUAAGAACCCCUUGUUGCUUAGUUGAACGGGGCAUUCCAAUGAUCAACCCUAUUGGGCCAUUUUGUAAGCAGAAUGGGCAUCGGGAUGAACCAACUCAAGGUA